CAUGUGGUUUGUUGCUGUGGUGCGUGGUUCCUUUGCAUGCUGUCACACUAUGACUGAUAAUAGACACGAAUUCAAUUAGAAGGACAAUUAUUAAAUCAAUAGAGUGAUUUAUAGCUUAGUUCUAUAACAGUAUCAUUUCAUGAUCAUAUUGUUCAUAUAUUGAAAAAUAUCUGAUUUUAUCAUAAAAGUUACAUAAACAACUAAUAUUCAGUCGAUAAGGACUAUACAUAUAAAGUUAAAUGGAGUCUAAAUAAAGGAAAUCUAUAUAAAGAUGUCAUCCGAUACAAUUCUUCUAGGACCUAAUUAUUUGUUUGUUUGUUUCCUUUUAUUGGAUUGCGCAUUUCCUGUCACGAGUAACAGAACAAAUAACUCAACACUUUAUUUGAAUGAACACCAUUUAAAUUCAAUCUCAGAAAAGAAGCAAGGCGGAAAUGAAACAGAGAAUUUAGAAUUAAGUUUCGUGUCCCAAGACAAUUCCACAGUUUAUCAUAUACAUAAACAAGAUAAAAGCAAAUACAAGAAUAGCAGCAGGGACGUCAAGGAAACGCAAGGUUCUUUUCAGAAUUCUGUGAAUAAUUCUAUCACAUUUGUAAAAGACGACGAGGAAAAAAAAUCAAAUUUACGAGACAAUUUGAGCGAUAGGACAACAAAUACAAUGUACAUGAUUGAAUUAACCAGUGUUGAUGACAGCAAAUUGCAAUCAAAUCAGAUCACAAAAGAACCAGCUCUUAAAGAUUCAGUCAAUACUAACGAGGUCAACAAUACAGAGAACUUUCAGUUCAAUAUCUCAGACAGUCACUCAAAAGAUAAGCAUACGACUAUUUCCGAGUUUAAACAUAAAGACUCCCUAAAGAUAACUGCUAUGAUUCCCAGACAUAAGAUUUUGAAACACUUGAGUUUAGUGCCAAUAGAAGAUGAACCAUUUGGUGGAGUGUUAUGGAAGAAUAACAGCAAAUAUCUGAUGAGUGUUUGUGUACCUAUUGGAGUUGGUAUUGCUGGGGCAGCAUGUAUUAUUGGUAUGGCAUAUGCUGCCAGAAGAUGUUAUAAAAAUGAGAGAAAAAUACAAGAAAUUAGAGCGGCACUUCAA